GGAUAAGACAGCUGGAUGAUAGCCGGGCUGAAGACUCUGCUUGACUAGCUGAGAGGAGGUGCAUGGCCGUCGUCAGUUCGUACUGUGAAGCAUCCUGUUAAGUCAGGCAACGAGCGAGACCCACGCCAACAGUUGCCAGCAUGUCCUCCGGGAUGAUGGGGACACUGUUGGGACCGCCUCUGCUAAAGAGGAGGAAGGAAUGGGCAACGGUAGGUCAGCAUGCCCCGAAUUAUCCGGGCUACACGCGGGCUACAAUGGUCAGGACAAUGGGUAUCAACACCGAAAGGUGAAGGCAAUCUCCUAAACCUGUCCUUAGUUCGGAUUGUGGGCUGCAACUCGCCCACAUGAAGCUGGAAUCUGUAGUAAUCGCGUCUCAAAAUGGCGCGGUGAAUAUGUCCCUGCUCCUU
rnacentral:rRNA from 1 species